UUCUUGCUUAAAAACAUAUACCAGCGGAGCAAGCCUAGAGCUUGAGGAGGUGACGCGUUUGCAGGCAGUGCCGGAGAGAGCAGAUACUGUUUCCUCGCACUACGGAGCGUACAACGCUUUGAAAAUAAUACGGAUGGAAUGUACGGACAGUGGUGUUCAAGUCGUUCGGAACUGUUAGCUAACUGACCAUCUCUCUGUUGCGACGGGUCUGUAACGCUAGGCCUGAUGGAGCCGGGCUCUCGAGGUGGGCUGCAUUCGGCCGGACGCCGCCGCUCCUCCCUCGGGGACCUGCCUUAAACGGACCCGCCCCUCCCCUCCCCUCUGCCUCUGCCCCGCCCCCUACCCCUCCCCUAGCCCCUCCCCUAGCCCCGCCCCCAGCUCUUGACAGGAUGGGCAAGCUGAAGCAGAACCUGCUGGUGGCCUGCCUGGUGGUGAGCUCCGUCACCGUCUUCUACCUGGGCCGCCACGCCAUGGAGUGCCACCAGCGCAUCGAGGAGCGCUCGCGGCCGGGCGCCAUGGCGGCCGCGGCGGCCGGGGGGGCGUCGGCGGCGGGCGUCGACCCGGCGGCGCGCGGCGGCGGCGGCGGCCUCAACGCCAGCGUCGGCGGCGUCGGCGGCUACAGCAAGGACACGCCCCUCGUGUUCAUCGGCGGCGUCCCGCGCAGCGGCACCACGCUGAUGCGCGCCAUGCUGGACGCCCACCCCGCCGUGCGCUGCGGCGAGGAGACGCGCGUCAUCCCGCGCGUCCUGGCCAUGAAGCAGAUGUGGAGCCGCUCGGGCCGCGAGAAGAUGCGCCUGGACGAGGCGGGCGUGACGGACGAGGUGCUGGACGCCGCCAUGCGCGCCUUCCUCCUGGAGGUCAUCGUGCGCCACGGCGAGCCGGCGCCCUUCCUCUGCAACAAGGACCCCUUCGCCCUCAAGUCCCUCUCCUACCUGGCCAAGAUCUUCCCGCGCGCCCGCUUCGUCCUGAUGAUCCGCGACGGCCGCGCCUCCGUCCACUCCAUGAUCUCGCGCAAGGUGACCAUUGCCGGCUUCGACCUGGGCAGCUACCGCGACUGCCUGACCAAGUGGAACCGCGCCGUGGAGACCAUGCACGCGCAGUGCCUGGAGGCCCAGGGCCGCUGCCUGCCCGUGCACUACGAGCAGCUGGUGCUGCACCCCGAGCGCUGGAUGCGCACGCUCCUGCGCUUCCUGGACAUCCCCUGGGACGACGCCGUGCUCCGCCACGAGGAGCUCAUCGGCAAGGCCGGGGGCGUGUCCCUCUCCAAGGUGGAGCGCUCCACUGACCAGGUGAUCAAGCCGGUGAAUGUGGAGGCCCUGUCCAAGUGGGUGGGGAAGAUCCCGGGCGACGUGCUGCGGGACAUGGCCGUCAUCGCGCCCAUGCUGGCCCGCCUGGGCUACGACCCCCACGCCAACCCCCCCAACUACGGGAGGCCCGACCCCAGGGUCCUGGACAACACCAGGAGGGUCUGAAAUGUACUUGUGGUGGCAGUCUGUGCUGGGUGGGAGGAUCAUCCAAAACACGGUGUUUAAAGGUGAAUUUCAGCUGCCUGAUUUUCUUAAAGAACAACAACAGCUCCAAAAGUCUCCAGAAAAGCCUGAUCCCAGUUAGGAGGAAGAGGAGGAUAGCCACGCCCACAUAAGUGUGUGACACUCUUGCUCAUUAAGCCACACCCACAGACUCACUUUUACUUUCAGCCCCAUCCAGAGUGUGCAGCUCUCUUUUGCCUUCAGUCUGAGGACGGUUUGGCACUGCUAGGUCCUCACUUUGUGUGUGUGUGUGUGUGUUUGUGAGUGUGUGUGGGGGGUUUAAGGGGAUGUUUUGUUCUUGCUAUGUUUGUAUUGGAGUUCUCAAAGUCAGCCCGACCCGAGUCAAAACUGUGUAAUAAUUUAUUUGGGUCAGGCGCGGACCAAGCAGUAAAAAAACAAAAAAAAAAAAAGAAAUAAAAAAAAAGUGUGUCUGUGUGUGUGUAUUUAGCUCACAUUUUUACAGCGCAGUCCAUUGCGCUGAUUGCUACUUUCUGAAUCGAUCAAACACAGACUUUCUCUAGUUGGUAAAAUGUACGUUUAAUCACACCAGAAGUCCCGUUUGCUGUGAUUAACUACUACAAAUAUACAGCUUCAGCGCAAAUAGCUUUUCUGGACGCCGCGCGCACGCUAACUUGCUCAGUUGUAUUAUGACAUACAGGAACGGGACGGAGGCGAGGGGAUAUACUAUCAACAGUGAGUUUACAACAACACAAACAAAGUCAGAAAAAGACGUGACGAGAUCGAAGUGCAAAAUCGGUAAUAGAAGGGAAGUUAGCGGUGGGCGAAUGUGUUCUGCUUCACCUCACUCGGGCCGGUCGGGUCGGGCUUGGACUUCCAGGCCCGUUGAGAACUCUGGUUUGUACGUUUAGCGUAGCUCGGUGUGCGCGUGGGUGUCGGUUUCGAUUGCGUGUUUCAGUACAGAGCUGUUGGGGCGUACGUUGCGUGGCGCUGUCGUGGCGAUUCGGUUGUAAACUGAAGAAUCAAGUGGCUCCUUUUUACAGGCUCGAAUGGAAAUGGGAAAGAGAAGCAGCCUGCGAUCACAUGAUGGUGAAUCACAGUUGGGCUAAGCAACGUGUGCAUCGGCAGCAAUGCUGGGCUUGAGAAAGCUGCAGUAAUCCAUUGUAAAAUGAUUCAUAGGAGCGCGUUUCAUUUUUAAAAUGGCGCAAGUUUUGAAUGAAUAGAAACCUUACCAACUUUGCAUGAAUUAUUGGACUUGUAGUUAAACCUUCAUCCUUAUGUAGAGCGUUGAGGGUUUCAGCAGAAGGUUCCAGAAUUCCAUGGUUGUUCGACCAGUCUUUCUGCCCAACGUUCUCCUUACGUUGGUCCCCACUGAAGUCGGGCAUGCAGUAGGUCCGGUGUAAGCCAGGUCUUGACGUCGCUUGUACCAGCUAGAGAUUGGCGGGUGCUAACUACAACAGGCGUUCACAUGCAAAGUGAGCUGCAUAGAGGUGUGAACUCCUAAUUUGCAUAAUGUGGAGCUGGCUGGUUUCUUAUAAAAAGCUGAGAAGAAAACCAUUUUUUUUCAGAGGGCGAUGUGUUUCUGUUUGCCCUAAACAAAGAUAUGUUAUUGCCCAACCGUAUCAUUUCAAACACAAAUUGAAAGAAGAAUGUUUUGAUUGUAAUUACUAGGGUUGCCACCAGAAUCCUCUUGUAUUGAAGAUUAAAAUGCUUUAUUCCUUACUGAAUCAGUACAGGACUCGAUUUGUUUUCCUACCCAAAGAUCCGUACACACAGCCUUUCACAACAGUGAGAAGAUUGUAAUUAUGAAUAAAUUGAAGCCAGUUUCACAAUAGUUAAGAAACAGAAUCAGAGUGGUAGCAUCGCUCUGCUGUGUGUGUGUGUGUGUGUGUGUGUGUGUGUGUGUGUGUGUGUGUGUGUGUGUAUGUGUGUUUGUCAGUGCAUGUCGGAGGCAUGAAUGUUUGUGAGUGUGAAACAUGUCUCUGAUUUUUCCAAAUUUGUCCAAAUUUUCCGCAUUGAAGGUGGCAACCCUAGUAAUUACAGCAUCAGUCAAGGCUACGCCUGGCUUACCCCCCGCCUAGGUGUAGAUUUUAGUCCUGAGCAGCGUGGGACAUUUCACGGCCAAACUUGUGCAACUGGUGUAAAAUUUACACCUCACUGAACGUCCGACGUUAGCACUUAAUCUCAACAUAACGUUUUUAUGAAGCCAGCCCCUGGUGCCUCUACUCAGCCUGAUGUUGGGGUUCCCUCAGACCUGGCCUGAUGUUGGGGUUCCCUCAGACCUGGCCUGAUGUCGGGGUUCCCUCAGACUUGGCCUGAUUUUGGGGUCCCCUCAGACCUGGCCUGAUGUCGGGGUCCCUUCAGACCCAGCCUGAUUUUGGGGUACCCUCAGACCCAGCCUGAUUUUGACGUCCCCUCAGACUUAGCCUGAUUUUGGGGUCCCCUCAGACCCAGCCUGAUGUUGGGGUUCCCUCAGACUUAGCCUAAUUUUGGGGUCCCCUCGGACCCAGCCUGAUUUUGGGGUCCCCUCAGUCUUAACCUGAUUUUGGAGUUCCCACAGGUGGGAACCUGUUAGCUGAGUGCUGCUCUCUGCCUUUCAGGGUGGAGGAGAAUGGAGCUCAGGACAGAGGAGAUGCAAAAUCAAUCACUACAGAGGAGAGGACAUCCAUCACUACAGAGGGCACACACACUCUCAGACACACACACACACACACACACACACACACACACACACAGUCCUACACACACACACACAUACACACACAUACACUCACACAUACUCCUACAUACACUCACACACAUACUCCUACACACACUCUCACUCUGGCUCAGACCACUCUGUCUGUCCCACAGUUCCUCUGGCUGUUAUGUCAUUACUGUACCAUGCAUUUGGCCUCAGAAUGUUGUCGCUGUUUUUUUCUCUUUUUUUUUUUUUUUUCUUUUCUUCUCCUGUCACACCUGCUCAUUGGGAUUAUUUUCCUCUCUGUAAAAGUCUGUGAUUCUGUUAUAAGAACAAGCAGUGACUUUAAUUGCACAGAAAGUAUUUAUGGAAGACUAUUAGCUUUUGAAGAUGCAAUAUCUAUUUUAGUGUUUGAUUCUCAUGCCUUCGUAUAGUGCAAUUCCGUGGGUACUCAUGUGGAAGCUCACUGCUUCAGGGUUCGACUGUGUAAAGAUUAAACAUUUUUGUAACCUGUC